GGUUUCAUGGUGUAGUGGUUAUCACGUCUGCUUUAUACGCAGAAGGUCCUGAGUUCAAUCCUCAGUGGAACCA
rnacentral:tRNA from 1 species